UCCCGCAAGGGAUUAGUAGAGUGGCAAACGGGUGAGUAACGCGUGGGUGACCUGCCUUCGAGCGGGGGAUAACGUCCCGAAAGGGACGCUAAUACCGCAUGACAUCCUGCCUUUGAAGAGGUGGAGAUCAAAGCCGGGGAUUCGCAAGAACCUGGCACUUGAAGAGGGGCCCGCGUCUGAUUAGCUAGUUGGUGGGGUAAUGGCUCACCAAGGCAUCGAUCAGUAUCCGGCCUGAGAGGGCGGACGGACACACUGGGACUGAGACACGGCCCAGACUCCUACGGGAGGCAGCAGUGGGGAAUUGUUCGCAAUGGGCGCAAGCCUGACGACGCAACGCCGCGUGGAGGAUGAAGAUCUUCGGGUCGUAAACUCCUUUCGAUCGAGACGAAUGGCUUCCGGGUGAACAAUCCGGGAGAGUGACGGUACCGAGAGAAGAAGCCCCGGCUAACUCCGUGCCAGCAGCCGCGGUAAUACGGGGGGGGCAAGCGUUGUUCGGAAUUACUGGGCGUAAAGGGCUCGUAGGUGGCCAACUAAGUCAGACGUGAAAUCCCUCGGCUUAACCGGGGAACUGCAUCUGAUACUGGAUGGCUUGAGAUUGGGAGAGGGAUGCGGAAUUCCAGGUGUAGCGGUGAAAUGCGUAGAUAUCUGGAGGAACACCGGUGGCGAAGGCGGCAUCCUGGACCAACACUGACACUGAGGAGCGAAAGCCAGGGGAGCAAACGGGAUUAGAUACCCCGGUAGUCCUGGCCCUAAACGAUGAAUGCUUGGUGUGGCGGGUAUCGAUCCCUGCCGUGCCGAAGCUAACGCAUUAAGCAUUCCGCCUGGGGAGUACGGUCGCAAGGCUGAAACUC
rnacentral:rRNA from 1 species